rnacentral:rRNA from 1 species
AUGUGGCAUAAAGCACCAUGUUCAAGUAGGGAUUACAGUGGGGUGCGGGAGAGUGGACCGCGUAAAAGAGAUGAGGAUGGUGAUGAUGGUGGUGAUGUUGAUGAAGACGAUCACCGUGGCGAUGAUUCCCCUCCCGAUGGCACUCCUGCGCCACCGAGAGAGAGGAGGAGAGGUUCUCCCCCUUGUGCUUCCUCCUCCAUGCCCCCCCUAGAUGGGGAGAGGUUCUCCCUCUGGUCCUUGGCCUUCAUGGUGAUGAUGGCCCCUUCGGGAUCCUCCUCCAUGGCCUCCGGUGAUGAUGGCCCCCUCCGGCAGGGUGCCAGAGAGGGCCUAGAUUGA